rnacentral:rRNA from 1 species
UACAGAGGGUGCCAGCGUUAUUCGGAAUUAUUGGGCGUAAAGGGCGCGUAGGCGGCCAUGCGUGUCUUCCGUGAAAUCCCUCGGCUUAACUGAGGACGUGCGGAAGAAACUGCAAGGCUCGAGUCCGGGAGAGGGGGGUGGAAUUCCCAGUGUAGCGGUGAAAUGCGUAGAUAUUCGCAAGAACACCAGUGGCGAAGGCGGCUCACUGGCCCGGUACUGACGCUGAGGUGCGAAAGCAUGGGGAGCGAACAGG